AUUGAACGCUGGCGGCAGGCCUAACACAUGCAAGUCGAACGGAUCCUUCGGGAUUAGUGGCGGACGGGUGAGUAACACGUGGGAACGUGCCUUUUGGUUCGGAACAACUCAGGGAAACUUGAGCUAAUACCGAAUGUGCCCUUCGGGGAAAGGAUUUAUCGCCAUUAGAGCGGCCCGCGUCUGAUUAGCUUGUUGGUGAGGUAAAGGCUCACCAAGGCUACGAUCAGUAGCUGGUCUGAGAGGAUGAUCAGCCACAUUGGGACUGAGACACGGCCCAAACUCCUACGGGAGGCAGCAGUGGGGAAUCUUGCGCAAUGGGCGAAAGCCUGACGCAGCCAUGCCGCGUGAAUGAUGAAGGUCUUAGGAUUGUAAAAUUCUUUCACCGGGGACGAUAAUGACGGUACCCGGAGAAGAAGCCCCGGCUAACUUCGUG
rnacentral:rRNA from 1 species